rnacentral:rRNA from 1 species
GAUGAACGCUGGCGGCGUGCCUAAUACAUGCAAGUCGAGCGAACGGACGAGAAGCUUGCUUCUCUGAUGUUAGCGGCGGACGGGUGAGUAACACGUGGAUAACCUACCUAUAAGACUGGGAUAACUUCGGGAAACCGGAGCUAAUACCGGAUAAUAUUUUGAACCGCAUGGUUCAAAAGUGAAAGACGGUCUUGCUGUCACUUAUAGAUGGAUCCGCGCUGCAUUAGCUAGUUGGUAAGGUAACGGCUUACCAAGGCAACGAUGCAAAGCCGACCUGAGAGGGUGAUCGGCCACACUGGAACUGAGACACGGUCCAGACUCCUACGGGAGGCAGCAGUAGGGAAUCUUCCGCAAUGGGCGAAAGCCUGACGAAGCAACGCCGCGUGAGUGAUGAAGGUCUUCGGAUCGUAAAACUCUGUUAUUAGGGAAGAACAUAUGUGUAAGUAACUGUGCACAUCUUGACGGUACCUAAUCAGAAAGCCACGGCUAACUACGUG